GACGAACGCUGGCGGCGUGCUUAACACAUGCAAGUCGAACGAAGUGGCGAACGGGUGAGUAACGCGUAAUCAACCUGCCCUUCAGGGGGGGACAACAGUUGGAAACGACUCCUAAUACCGCAUACUGAAUGAGGAGUUUGCGUCGGAUUAGCUGGUUGGAGGGGUAACGGCCCACCAAGGCGAGGAGAAGUAGCCGGUCGUGGAGGAUGGACGGCCCAAUUGGGACUGGGAAACGGCCCAGACUCCUACGGGAGGCAGCAGUGGGGAAAUUUCCGACAUGGAGGAAAGUCUUACUGAGCACCGGCGGGGGAGUGAUGAAGGCCUUUGGGUUGUAAAGCUCUGUUAAGCGGGAAGCGGUACCGGAAUAGAAAGCCACGGCUAACUACGUGCCAGCAGCCGCGGUAAUAC
rnacentral:rRNA from 1 species